UUCCGGUUGAUCCUGCCGGACCUGACUGCUAUCGGAUUGAUACUAAGCCAUGCGAGUCAUUGUAGCAAUACAAGGCAGACGGCUCAGUAACGCGUAGUCAACCUAACCUAUGGACGGGAAUAACCUCGGGAAACUGAGAAUAAUGCCCGAUAGAACACUAUACCUGGAAUGGUUUGUGUUCCAAAUGAUUUAUCGCCGUAGGGUGGGACUGCGGCCUAUCAGUUUGUUGGUGAGGUAAUGGCCCACCAAGACUAUUACAGGUACGGGCUCUGAGAGGAGUAGCCCGGAGAUGGGUACUGAGACACGGACCCAGGCCCUAUGGGGCGCAGCAGGCGAGAAAACUUUGCAAUGUGCGAAAGCACGACAAGGUUAAUCCGAGUGAUUUGUGCUAAACGAAUCUUUUGUUAGUCCUAGAACCACUAACGAAUAAGGGGUGGGCAAGUUCUGGUGUCAGCCGCCGCGGUAAAACCAGCACCUCAAGUGGUCAGGAUGAUUAUUGGGCCUAAAGCAUCCGUAGCCGGCUCUGUAAGUUUUCGGUUAAAUCUGUACGCUUGACGUACAGGCUGCCGGGAAUACUGCAGAGCUAGGGAGUGGGAGAGGUAGACGGUACUCGGUAGGAAGGGG
rnacentral:rRNA from 1 species